GAAAUGCGAUAAGUAAUGUGAAUUGCAGAAUCCCGCGAACCAUCGAGUCUUUGAACGCAAGUUGCGCCCGAAGCCAUUAGGUUGAGGGCACGUCUGCCUGGGCGUCUCACGUUGCGUCGCCCGCGCCCCCUCCCUCCCCGAAGGGGGGAGGAAGGGCUGCGGGCGGAUGUUGGCUCCCCGCGCCCCCCCUUCCGCGCGCGAUCGGCCCAAAAGCGAGUCCCCCGCGAUGGACGACGCGUCGCGACGAGUGGUGGUUGGCAAACCGUUGCGUCGCCUAGCGCGCGUCCGGGCCGUCUCGGGAGGCCUGUCGUGACCAUAUCGCGCCGUCGCCAAGGCACUCCGAUCGCGACCCCAGGUCAGGCGGGAUUACCCGCUGAGUUUAA
rnacentral:misc_RNA from 1 species